UAUGAUGCUCGGCGACAUUGCUACGUCCACCGAGCAGAGAGACCCAACCAAUCUGGCUCGACAGGAGAAGAAGAAAGAACAAAAGAAAGGACGAAAAAGGGGAGAAAAGGGAUUGAAAAGGGGGGAGAUGGAGAAGACGAGAGGAGAAUUAAAUAGAGAGGUGGAAUCGCAGAUACGGAAAUCUCUCAACCACAGAGGGCGAAGAGACAACCCCAGAAAUUUAUGGGAGACUAGGAAACAAUACAAAUUAAAUCAUUAGGGAUGAAAUGUUUUCUUAUUACAAUUUAUGUAACCGAGUGGGUGCUGACUGG
rnacentral:lncRNA from 1 species